rnacentral:rRNA from 1 species
UACAGAGGGUGCGAGCGUUAAUCGGAAUUACUGGGCGUAAAGGGCGCGUAGGUGGUUAUGUAAGAUUGAUGUGAAAUCCCUGGGCUUAACCUAGGAACUGCAUCGAUGACUGCAUAGCUGGAGUACUGUAGAGGGUAGUAGAAUUUCCGGUGUAGCGGUGAAAUGCGUAGAGAUCGGAAGGAAUACCAGUGGCGAAGGCGGCUACCUGGACAGAUACUGACACUGAGGCGCGAAAGCUAGGGUAGCAAACGGG